AAAGCCACUGGCAGAGAUUUGAUGAACUUCACAGACAGAAGCUGCCCAUUUAGACUCAUGUAUCUACUUGAGCUAAGAAGCGCACUCUUUGCUAUGUAUACCUUCGUGGAAGAUCUUCCAGGAGAAUAACUGUGUCUUAUUAUUGUUGACAC